UUUUUCAAAUAUCCUCUGAACGUUGACUUAGGUGCACACACCUGUGCUUCCAUUGGCAACAAAAGCUUUGAAUGCACAGGACUUCCACGGCAUGAAAUGCAUUUACAUACAUUACAUAAGAGAGAAGCAAUGAGCAAGUCUGUUGCUGGGAGAGGCUCACAUCCUUCUCACCAAAUCAAUCUGUAACUUUCAAAUAGCUCUGCUGUAUUUCCUAGCAACAGGAGUAAACACUGUACUACAUCCAGUGCCCAAGAUUUGUAACCACGUUAAUCUGUUAGAAGCCUAGAUGUGUGACUGGAGAUGCCUCCUGUCCAUUCAAUCUGACUCCAAUGUGGUUCUGCAGCACUGGACAAAGAUGGGAGAUUGAAACAGGAGCCCCUGCGAUGGGGGAACAGAGCCAGGGAGCAGGGGUUGGACAGGAACCCAGGUUUGAGAAAACAACCUUGUGAACCUUCUAUUGGAGCAGCAAUAAAGAUCUGAGCUAAGUGUCGAGGGAGGCUGAGGAGGUGGUCACUAAGUCUGUCUUAGGCAUCCCAGGGUCUCCUCAGAGUCCAAGCCUGAAGUCCACUGCAGGGGUCACCAGCCACCUGUGGCCACAUUGGAAUGUGGCCAUUCUGAAUUGAGGUAAGUAAAAAACAUACACCAAAUUUCAAAGAUGUAAUAUGGGAAAAAAAGAAUGUAAGGUACUUGGUUAAUGAUUUUUUAUAUGGAUUACAUAUGGAAAUGCUACCAUUUUGGCUAUAUUGGGUAAGAUAUAUUAUUAAAAUUGAUGUCACCUGUUCCCUUUUACUUUUUUAAGCGCGCCUGCUAUAAAAUAUGAAAUUGCCUGCAUGGCUCCCAUUCAUGGAUCCUAUUACAUUUCUAUCUGCCAGUGUAGGUUGGUGCAGUCACAAGACAAUGCUUCAGGAGAAAAUCUGGGGAGGCGGUCUCAGGGCAAGAGGGUGAGUGGGGGAAAUGCCUAUGGAAUGAGAAAGAGACAACAGGGGGACCGACCCAUCAAGGGCUACAAAGAAGGUGAAUUUGCUUUCUGAGUUGUGCUUGCCUGCCGGACUCAUUUGCAGCAAGAGAGACCAGAAUAUAAAGGCCACGAUAAUAACAUCUCAAAUAAAUUAGAAGCAGCUUGUGGUUUAUAGUGAGCAAUGCUCUACUGGGGACCAGACCAAGCAGUUACCCCUGUCUUCACUCCAUCUGUGGUUAAGUCAUUUGGUCACUGUUGCCUUCUCAUCUGCAAAGCGGGGACUGAGAUUAACUGCUUGGCCUGCAUAUCCCCCUGACUCUGUCAACUAAGUUUUCGGAAACCUGAAGCACUCUAAACAUCCUGGGGGAAGAAAGGGCUGGAGAAACAUACAAUGUUUUGUGAUCAGAGUUUUUAAGCUGAAAAGAAUGAAGAAACUUGAAUAGAAUAAAUUCUUGAUACUUCCUUUUUCAUAACACUUACCACGCUUUAUUUCGAUUAUUUAUUAGCCCCCUUCCUAGCUAGAUAUAAGCUAGCUAUAAAUACCAUGAGCUCAGGACCCACAUCUGUCUGCUCACUGCUGUGACCGCAACUUAGAGGACAGAGCCCAGAAUACAGGCCUCAAUAAAUACUGUGGAAGAGGGGUCACAUGGAGAAUUUGCAGUCAUUUUUGCUGUUGAGCAUCUGUUAAGUUAAAGUUUCCAAGUGUGCAAACUGUACUCGGAAAUGAGUAAGAAGUAGAAACUUACCUAGAGAUGAUCAAACCAGUAGUGCUGUCACUCUAAUGAUGUUAUCUGUCCCACUGUGAAAACAUUGUCACAGGUGAAGGAGGAGAGUGAGGUGAGACCUUCCCAGCCCUUGACUGCUCUUGCACUGGACACAUUCCAGGAAGCUCUUGUGGCAGAAGCAGCCACUUAACUUACUUUUAACAAGAGAAGCUGAAGGCUGAGGGAAGUCAGGACCAACAGAGGAUCCAAAUUUCAGUGGCACAAGUCUUAAGCUUCAUUUGGUUGCAUGAAUGAGUGCGGAAGCAGCAUGAAGUAGUGGUGAUACAAACCUGGGUUCUGUGUUUAAUUCUAUUCUCAGUACUUUCCCAGUGGGAGACUGUGAGUUCCCUCUCUGAACCUCGUUCUCCUCCAUGGCUUAAAACUGGACUCAUAAUGCAUGGCUUAGCUAUAAUGUACCUUUCAAAAAGGGCUGGCAUCCGGUAAACACUGAAUAAAUGGUUACAUGUCAAACACAGUAAACAUUCAACAAUGGCUAAUAUCUUCCUUCUGCAUCAGCUUUUAAAACAGAUUUUUUAACCUGGAGUCCAAGGAGUCCCAGGAAAUCCACAGACGAGAUUCAAUGGAUCCUUGAAAUCCCUAAAAUUAAAUACAAAGCGGGGUAUGUGUGGACAUCUUUUCUCUUCAAGGAAAGAAUCCAUAGCUUUCAUAUGAUGCUCUUAAGACUCUCAGACUGAAAACAGUUUAAGAACUAUUGAGUUUCUGUGGCUUCCAAAGUGUUUAGCUCCUUCUAUUUAUCUAUGGAAUAGCUCUGUGAAUGACUCUCAAAACCAAGCUUUUCUGUGCCUCCUCAAGAGGCCUGCAUUUUAUAUGCAGCAGUACAACUUCCUUCCAUAAGACGCUUUUAUUUUCUGGCAGCAGCAGUAUCACAGGAAGAUGACUGGAAUUUAUAAGAUUGAUGACCAAAGAAGGCAGCUAUAAUGUUUUAUUCUCAAGAUGAUGGUUACUCAUCUUAGAAUAAAAACAACAACAACAAAAAAUAACAGAUGAAUGGGAAGAGCCCAAUCAAAGCUUUAUUCUACUCCUCAACAACUCAGGAGUUAAGCCUAAAGCUGCAGAUGAAAAUUUUGCCACCAUGAAGAAAAGAAGAAAUCAGAAUUGGAUUCUUUCUGAACUUUUCCUUUACAGUAGCCAGUAUAUGCCCUUUCCUACUUGAGCAAGUAUAAACUGGGUUUCUGUGAUUUGCAACCAAGUGUCCUGACAAACACAAGGAUGAAAGACAACUGUGUCUCAAUAAAGGAAAAAUAGUUUAUUUUUAUGAGUGGUGGAUUUAAAAAACCUACAUUACUGUGACAAGAGUACCUUAAAACAUUUAAGUCUACAAAAGGCACUUAGGGACUUUAUAGCAAACUCUACACUUAUAAUGAAAAGCCAGACCAGAUCAUUUUAAAAAAACGUUACUGCACGAGAUAAUGGCACAUCCACUCGUUCAAUUAACAUUUAUUGAGUGUCUUCAGGGGUUUUAGACUUGUGCAAUAAAAAUGAUAAAAACGUAUUCUUUGGUUUGAGCUGGUCCAUCCAAGGUCGUUCCAUAAAGAGCAGCUGUGUAUGCUGUUCAGACUAAUUGUGUGAAGCUGGAGAGGCCAGGUGUUUCUGUCUGGCCCAGCAGCUGCACUUUGCGGUAAGGGCACCACCUGAAUUUCAGUCUGGCCAUAAAAUGAGGCUGAAGAAACAGCACCUUGCAUGAGCUUUUAGGUGAAAGGCAGAACAG
rnacentral:lncRNA from 10 species